GACGAACGCUGGCGGCGUGCCUAAUACAUGCAAGUCGAGCGGACUGAUUAAGAGCUUGCUCUUAUGACGUUAGCGGCGGACGGGUGAGUAACACGUGGGCAACCUGCCCUGUAGAUCGGGAUAACACCGAGAAAUCGGUGCUAAUACCGGGUAAUAUCUGAGAUCACAUGAUCUUAGGUUAAAAGAUGGCUCCGGCUAUCACUACAGGAUGGGCCCGCGGCGCAUUAGCUAGUUGGUAAGGUAAUGGCUUACCAAGGCGACGAUGCGUAGCCGACCUGAGAGGGUGAUCGGCCACACUGGGACUGAGACACGGCCCAGACUCCUACGGGAGGCAGCAGUAGGGAAUCUUCCGCAAUGGACGAAGGUCUGACGGAGCAACGCCGCGUGAGUGAUGAAGGGUUUCGGCUCGUAAAGCUCUGUUGUUAGGGAAGAAACAGUACCGAACGAACUAGGUCGGUACCUUGACGGUACCUAACCAGAAAGCCACGGCUAACUACGUG
rnacentral:rRNA from 1 species